UACAGAGGUCUCAAGCGUUGUUCGGAUUCAUUGGGCGUAAAGGGUGCGUAGGCGGCGCGGUAAGUCGGUGUGAAAUCUCGGAGCUUAACUCCGAAACUGCAUUCGAUACUGCCGUGCUUGAGGACUGGAGAGGAGACUGGAAUUUACGGUGUAGCGGUGAAAUGCGUAGAUAUCGAUAAGGAAGACCAGUGGCGAAGGCGGGUCUCUGGACAGUUCCUGACGCUGAGGCACGAAGGUCAGGGGAGCAAACGGG
rnacentral:rRNA from 1 species